UUCAUUUCAAUCUUUGCAACAGCAGCAACAGUUCCCUCACUCAAAAACAAAUCAAAACGAUCGCCGUCGUUCCAACGGCAUCGGUCGUGCGACAAUGAAUCUCAUGGAUUCUAAACGCGAUGUGUUUAAACUAAAAAAUUAAUAACAAUUUAUGAUUUAUGGCAAUUUUUUUUAAUUAUUACAAAAUUCAAAACCAAACCAAAAAAAAAUAAAUAAAAUGUGUUACAACAAGAAGAAAUAUAUUUAAAAAUGCAGCCUAAGUAUACUACUCUACAGCCAACAAUGUCAGAUUGUUUUCAAUUAUUUUAACCAAAAAACAAAAUCGUUAUAAAAAAAAAAAACCAAGAACAAAAACACUUAACAAAUGCAAAUAAUGACAAUAGUUUUAAAUCUGCAAAAGUGUGUUAUUUUUAAAUUGAAAUUAACGAUCAACGAAAUCAUCAACUACUGUGCUGAAAAAUAAUAUUCAAUUUUUUUCUUUCUUCCCAUAUUUUCAACAGGAUGGAUGCCAAAAAUCAGCUCACACAUACGUAACUUACUCUGGAGACACACACACACACAGGAAACCCCAUACAACGAAACAAACAACGAAAUGAAGCUCAAAAACAAACAAAAAUGUAAACCAAAAACUAAGCAAGAAAAUUCAAAAUUUCUAAAACACAAAAAUGUGAUAAAAAUCUUAUAAUUUCUACAAAAAAAAAAUCCAAAAAAGCAAACAAUCAAGAUAAAUUCAUAAGUUUAAGAAACAUCAAAAACAGUGAAAUGUAUGUCAAAAUCAUAUAACUGGAAACUCAGUACAAAAAAAAAAACACAAAACAUACUUCUCUUCCAAAGAAAACAAAAAAACGCCAUUUUGUAAGAAACUCAUACAAAACCAGAAUAGUUCUGAAAAUAACUCAAGGCAAUAAAACUCAAGGCCAGAAAAACAAACAGACUCAAGAAAUCAAGAAAGCUAAGCUAAUUUCUAAAUAAGAGCAAAAACAAAAACUCAGGCAAAUUCAUAAAAAAAAAAUCUCAAAUUACACAUGCAGAGCAGCAGCAGAGCAAAGGAGACACAGCAGCUAAACUUUCCCCUUUACAUUUAUGAAAAUAAAAAAGAAAAACAAAUUACAUUUUAUCUAGCAACCCCCCGAUUUUAGGAGAAAUAAUAUCUAAGCCAUGGAGAAUAUUAUGCGGCGAAUUCACACACAAGGAUAAUUUUCCCUUCAAUUGCAGCAGGAGAUGCUGUUAUCCAAAACAAUCUACAUCUAAAGCUAAACACCCCUCGAAACAAGAAGCAAAGGAGAUGCAGCAGCAGAAGAUAAAUUAGCAUCACAAAAAGCAACUCAACAAAUUUUUCUCUCCCUCUCUCUCUCUGAGUUAAGCAAAAACGACUCAACUCAUUUAAACAACCACCCCACCAAACAAAGUUCAGCAGCAACAUUAUCAUGAAAUAUAUUUCAACUGAAUGUUAAUAGAAACUUGAAAACAAUUAUCAACAUCAUCAUCAGCGGCAGCCUAACGGCAUAACAAACCGGACCAUCCAAGCCAAAGCCAAGCAACCCCAAACCCCUUUAAACGAAAGCGAAAUAUCCUAUCGAAGAAUUGUGUUUCUUACAACGAGCAAAUGAAUUCAUAAUGAUGCUCUUUGGCUUUUGAGAAUCUAAGGAGCGGAAAAGGAGUGUGGCAGGGAUGUGGAUGGACGGACGGACAGCUUGCUUGCCCGGCCAACUGGUGGAUGAAUACUAAAUUAGUAUGACGCCAAACAAAAACGGCAGGUACAUUGAAGGAUACAGAACGAAAACAAAACCCUACAUUUAAUCUAAAAAUUUUAAAUUUGGCAAGAAUUUGUGAUAUUUUGGCAAUAGAGUUUAUUGGGUAAAUAACAAAGCACAAAAAAAAUAAUUAUAGUAAUAUCUUUUGAAAUAUUGGAAAUAAUUAGAAAACAAACAUAUCUAAGCAAAAAAACCAAUUGUAUGAAAAAAUACAAAAAUUCAAAAUCAUUGUUUUUACACAUAUACAAUUUUUUCAUAUAUUACAUAAAUAUCAAAUUCAAUAUAUGCAUAUGUGAGGGUUGUGGUUGUGGGAUUUAAUUCGAAUAGCUUGGGUACAAAUCCAACUAAAAAUAAUACUUUUCUGCUGACAAUCUAAAACAAGGGAUUAUUUCUUUUGGGAGUGGAAAAUGUUUCAAAUUUUUUUCGUUGAGCACUUGUGCUGCUUAAAAAUUUCUAGAUUUUAAGCUCAAAGUCAACACUACUAAUUUUAUUAAUAUGAAGUAUAUAAUUGACAUAUAUAUUAGCCAAUAUAAAAAUUUGUCCAGAGAAUUGAAUCUGUCCCCUAUUUCUUAUCAAAUGUUAAAUUUUGAAACUCAUAGACAAUAAAAUGCUGUAGAGGUCCAUUGGUCAAAAUAUAAAUAUAUUUACAAUAAAAUCCCUUUCCGUCCAUUUAAAAUAAAAUUUACGAUUCAAGCAUACAAACAAAAACCUUUUAAAUU